UCGAACGAAAAGACGGAAAGAGCUUGCUCUUUUCAGAAUUGAGUGGCAAACGGGUGAGUAACACGUAAACAACCUGCCUUCAGGAUGGGGACAACAGACGGAAACGACUGCUAAUACCGCAUAAAGUGUUUUGGGGGCAUCCCCGGAACACCAAAGAUUUAUUGCUGAAAGAUGGCCUCGCGUCUGAUUAGAUAGUUGGUGGGGUAACGGCCUACCAAGUCGACGAUCAGUAGCCGGACUGAGAGGUUGAACGGCCACAUUGGGACUGAGAUACGGCCCAGACUCC
rnacentral:rRNA from 1 species